rnacentral:rRNA from 1 species
AAGCCUCGGGGAGCUGGCAAACGAGCUGUGAUCCGAGGGUUUCCGAAUGGGGGAACCCCGCACGAGUCAUGUCGUGUGACCCGCACCUGAAUAUAUAGGGUGUGUGGAGGGAACGUCGGGAAGUGAAACAUCUCAGUACCGACAGGAAGAGAUAUUCCGUGAGUAGUGGCGAGCGAAAGCGGAUGAGGCCAAACCGGGCGCGUGUUCAAGCUGUCAGGCGUUGCGUGUUCGGGGUUGUGGGACCCUUCUGGUGGAUCUGACAGUCCACCGGGGAGUAAGAAAGCCGUGUCAUAGUCGAACCGCAUUGAAAGGCGGACCACAGACGGUGCGAGUCCGGUAGACGAAAUGGUGCGGCCUCCCGAAGGGGAUCCCAAGUAGCACGGGGCCCGAGAAAUCUCGUGUGAAUCUGGCAAGACCACUUGCUAAGCCUAAAUACUACCUAGUGACCGAUAGCGGACCAGUACCGUGAGGGAAAGGUGAAAAGUACCCCGGGAGGGGAGUGAAAUAGUACCUGAAACCGUGUGCCUACAAUCCGUUGGAGCCUCCUUGGCUGGGGUGACAGCGUGCCUUUUGAAGAAUGAGCCUGCGAGUUAGUGCUCAGUGGCGA